GUACUGAUGUUGCUAAAGCAUUGGAUGCUCCUAUAUUCCAUGUGAAUGGUGACGAUACCGAAGCAGUGAUCCAUGUUUUUGAGCUUGCAGCGGAGUGGCGGCAGAUGUUCCAUUCUGAUGUGGUGGUGGAUGUUGUUUGUUACCGUCGGUUUGGGCACAAUGAGAUUGACGAACCUACUUUCACACAGCCUACAAUGUAUCAGGUAAUUCGUAAUCACCCAACAACACUUGAGAUAUAUCAAAAACAACUUUUGGAAAAAGGACAAAUCACCAAGGAAGAGAUUGAAAGAAUAGAGAAGAAAAUAUACACAAUCCUGCAAGAAGAAUUUGAUAACAGCAGAAACUACGUUCCAAAGAAGAGGGAUUGGCUCUCUGCUUUUUGGGCUGGAUUUAAAUCACCUGAACAGAUUUCACGCUCGCGGAACACUGGAGUUAAGCCUGAGAUUCUGAAACGUGUUGGUCAAGCCAUCUCAAC
rnacentral:misc_RNA from 1 species